GACGAACGCUGGCGGCGUGCUUAACACAUGCAAGUCGAACGAAGAGCGAUGGAAGCUUGCUUCUAUCAAUCUUAGUGGCGAACGGGUGAGUAACGCGUAAUCAACCUGCCCUUCAGAGGGGGACAACAGUUGGAAACGACUGCUAAUACCGCAUACGAUCUAACCUCGGCAUCGAGGAUAGAUGAAAGGUGGCCUCUACAUGUAAGCUAUCACUGAAGGAGGGGAUUGCGUCUGAUUAGCUAGGUGGAGGGGUAACGGCCCACCAAGGCGAUGAUCAGUAGCCGGUCUGAGAGGAUGAGCGGCCACAUUGGGACUGGGACACGGCCCAGACUCCUACGGGAGGCAGCAGUGGGGAAUCUUCCGAAAUGGACGAAAGUCUGACGGAGCAACGCCGCGUGAGUGAUGACGGCCUUCGGGUUGUAAAGCUCUGUUAAUCGGGACGAAAGGCCUUCUUGCGAAUAGUUAGAAGGAUUGACGGUACCGGAAUAGAAAGCCACGGCUAACUACGUG
rnacentral:rRNA from 1 species